GAUGAUACCUAAUGUUUGUAGAUGUGCCACUAUGAUGGAGAGAACCUUGGAGAAUACCCGGCGUGCAGACAAGAGGCCAAAUAAAAGGGCUCUGCACUGGUAGUGGUCCUGCACCAAGAUAAGUAUAGAGUCAUGAAUCUUACUGAACUUUUGGCUUCACUGAUGUCUUCUGGCAAUGAGUUCCAUGGACCAACUGAAUAUUGUGUGAAAAGGUGCCUACACUUAUCCUUUAUUCGUCUAAGUAAGGAAUAAUACGGUGUCAGACUGGCUUCUUCACAAGGUGUCAGAAGAACAUCGUGCAAAAAGGAAGAAAAGGAAGGCAGAUAAAUGGGCUCUAAUGAGCAAAUAUAUACUCUUCCAUGAGUGUGCAGGGAGGAAGGCACAUGAGAAAUUCCUCCUGUGCAUUCCUAGGGACUUACAUUGCCCCUAAGGGGCCUGGAGGAGCCAUGGUUAAAAGACCACCCCCAAACACACACUUCGCAGCAGAGCUUGCAUGCUCCUCCUGCAUCCUGCAGAUAUGCAAACCCUACCCGCAACAUGAGCCUGUUCCUUAAGAGGUGCACCCUGAUCCUAGAGAUUUUACAAAGCUUGGGGAAUAAAUACAUUGGACUAAUUCAGCUCCAAGAUAGUUACAGAUGAAUGGUGAGUUUGAAAGACUGAUACCAACUUUUAAAACAAUGAUGCACAAGGCAGUGGAGGUAGGCAUAACUCCUCAGUUUGCUCCACUGGAUUUUAAUUCUCCUGUGAUAUGUUCUGCUGCACAACUGUUAAUGGAAAGUCACAAUGCCUGUCAAUGAUCACAGAGACUUUGACUAUUACGUACCUAUGACCGAGUGCACCCUGUAUAAACACCCUACACACUAUUGUACUAAUCUUUGUACAAAAUAUGAUUUAUGAGGUAUCAUUUGAAAACGAAUAACUCACUGGUCAAUAAUAUCAUGGUGAAAAGUAUGUAGCAUUAUUAUAUGUAAAGUUAUGAACAUAAGAUGAAAAUAUGACUGAAAUGUGGUUACCAAACAAGUCUGGGGAGCGGAUAAACCUGUUUCUCAAAGACAAAGGACAAGCUGACCCUCUAACCAGGCGUCAUCAAAGUUGAUGGGCAAUCACCUGUCAAGUGACCAUUGUUUGUUUCUGCCCCACUUAUUUGCCAAACAAAUCUACAUUUUAGCAAACAACAGUACGGAACCUCUUUCACCACGAAACUCCAUGACUCCAACAUCACAGCCAGAAUGAACUUUAUCUAGAGGUAACCCUCAGGAAAAUUAAUUUCAAAGGGUGACUGGACUAUAAAAGUGAGGGGCAAAACCACCUCAAAAGUAUCUCUCCCUAUCUCUCUCUUUCACCUAAGAGACAAAAGAAGCAGCCUUUUGACUUUGGGAGAGAGCCUGACCUGAAAUUUGGUCAGCCCUGUUGCUGGGAGCAUUGGUAAGAAUUUUUUCUUGAACCAAGUCUAGUUUGUUAAGGUUUAGCACUAGGCUGUGUUUUAAUUUUCUCUUGAAAACAUUUCUGACUAAUGCCUGUACUGACUUAACA